AACGAACGCUGGCGGCAGGCUUAACACAUGCAAGUCGAGGGGUAUGCUUCUUCGGAAGCAGAGACCGGCGCACGGGUGCGUAACGCGUAUGCAAUCUACCUUUUACAGAGGGAUAGCCCAGAGAAAUUUGGAUUAAUACCUCAUAGUAUUAUAGAAUGGCAUCAUUUUAUAAUUAAAGUCACAACGGUAAAAGAUGAGCAUGCGUCCCAUUAGCUAGUUGGUAAGGAACGGCUUACCAAGGCUACGAUGGGUAGGGGUCCUGAGAGGGAGAUCCCCCA
rnacentral:rRNA from 1 species